GAGUUUGAUCCUGGCUCAGAUUGAACGCUGGCGGUAGGCUUAACACAUGCAAGUCGUGCGAGAAAGUAUCUUCGGAUAUGAGUAGAGCGGCGGACGGGUGAGUAACGCGUAGGAAUCUACCUAGUAGAAGGGGAUAGCCCGGGGAAACCCGGAUUAAUACCGUAUACCUCCUUCGGGAGAAAGAAGGCCUCUCUUUGAAGCUUUCGCUAUUAGAUGAGCCUGCGUAAGAUUAGCUUGUUGGUGAGGUAAAGGCUCACCAAGGCGACGCUCUUUAGCUGGUCUGAGAGGACGAUCAGCCACAUUGGGACUGAGACACGGCCCAGACUCCUACGGGAGGCAGCAGUGGGGAAUAUUGGACAAUGGGCGCAAGCCUGAUCCAGCCAUACCGCGUGUGUGAAGAAGGCCUUCGGGUUGUAAAGCACUUUAAGCAGGGAGAAAAAGUUAUAAGUUAAUACCUUAUAACCUUGAUGUUACCUGCAGAAUAAGCACCGGCUAAUUCCGUGCCAGCAGCCGCGGUAAUACGGAAGGUGCAAGCGUUAAUCGGAAUUACUGGGCGUAAAGCGCGCGUAGGUGGUUUGUUAAGUUGGAUGUGAAAGCCCUGGGCUCAACCUAGGAACUGCAUCCAAAACUAACUCACUAGAGUACGAUAGAGGGAGGUAGAAUUCAUAGUGUAGCGGUGGAAUGCGUAGAUAUUAUGAAGAAUACCAGUGGCGAAAGCGGCCUCCUGGGUCUGUACUGACACUGAGUGCGAAAGCGUGGGUAGCGAACAGGAUUAGAUACCCUGGUAGUCCACGCCGUAAACGAUGACACUA
rnacentral:rRNA from 1 species